GCAAAACAAGAUUAAACAUUGAUGCGGCUUUCCUAGACACAGCUUUUGACGAGUAAAGAGAUGAGGGUGGGGGAGACCUUCUCUGCAGAGUUUGCGUGUUCUCGUGGUGUCAACGUGGGUUUUCUCCGGGUACUCCAGCUUCCUCCCACAAUGCAAAGACGUUCAGGAGAGGCGAACAGGCUAGAGUUAGAUGGGACCAAGGAAGGGCUAAAGAUGGAUUUAAAUCCAAGUCCCCCAGA